CCUGACGGUAGUCGUAUGCUCGUCUCCGAGACUAAGCCAUGCAAGUCCAAGUACACGUCCUUGAACGACGGAAACUGCGAACGGCUCAUUAAAUCAGUUGCGAUCUACUCGGCGUUCCGCGCCGCCGGAUAACCGUAGUAAUUCUAGGGCUAAUACGUGCGAAGCGCCCGAAGCCGCGAGGCGACGGGCGUUCUCGCCGGAUGUAGGAACCGACCCGGGGACCGCCGGGGCAACCCGGCGCCCCCGAGACGGGGCGAACCACGGUGAAAUGACGGAUCGUCGGCCCCGCGCCGGCGACUCGCCGAAUGAGUUUCUGACCUAUCAACUCGAGACGGCGGGGUAGAGGCCCGCCGCGGUAACGACGGGUAACGGGGAAGUCAGGGUUCGAUUCCGGAGAGGGAGCCCGAGAAACGGCUACCACUUCCAAGGAAGGCAGCAGGCGCGCAACUUACCCUAAAUCUCGAUUCGAGGA
rnacentral:rRNA from 1 species